rnacentral:pre_miRNA from 1 species
GAGAGAUGACCAAAGAGAGAUGACUAAUGAGAGAUGACCAAAUAGAGAUCCUCUUUGUUCAUCUUUCUUUGGUCAUCUCUCUUUGGCCAUCUCUCUU